AUCUGGGCGGCGGAAUUCAGGAUGGCUGGGCGGCUCUUGCAGUAACGUCGGUCGUUUGAUAUUUCCGUCGCCAACAACCGCAGACGUCGCGACCUGUUCGCGGUCGGUCCCUGCUCGGAGGAGCCACGUUCGAGUUCGUUGUGUGCGCGUUUCGGCGUGUCACACGGUGAAGGCGUGGAUCUCUGGCUGGCCGUCGGACAGUAUGCUUAACGGUGUCCGGUGUCGUCGUCUCGUACGCGCGGCAUCGGUACCGGUCAGCGACGAAUUCUUCGGGCCUCUUUCCGACCCGUCUUGAAACACGGACCAAGGAGUCUAACAUGCGCGCGAGUCGCGGGGUAUCGUUCGUACUUCGGUGCGUUCGUUAUGUUGCGAAACCCGUACAUGUCGAAGGCGUAAUGAAAGUGAAUGGGGAAGAUGGUGUUCCGAGUACACGUUCCGUGAUCGUCGGUAUCGCGGCCGGACACCCGCAUUCCCGGGGCGUCUCAACGGCCCGUCGCUGAUGCGGACAGUCGUCUUUCGGGGUGGCUGUCGGUCGGCGACGAACCGA
rnacentral:rRNA from 1 species